CCUGGCAGUCAGAGGCGAUGAAGGGCGUGCUAAUCUGCGAUAAGCGCCGGUAAGGUGAUAUGAACCGUUAUAACCGGCGAUACCCGAAUGGGGAAACCCAGUGUGACUCGUCACACUAUCAUUAACUGAAUCCAUAGGUUAAUGAGGCGAACCGGGGGAACUGAAACAUCUAAGUACCCCGAGGAAAAGAAAUCAACCGAGAUUCCCCCAGUA
rnacentral:rRNA from 1 species